rnacentral:rRNA from 1 species
UGCCCUAGUAACGGCGAGUGAAGCGGCAACAGCUCAAAUUUGAAAUCUGGCUCUUUUAGGGUCCGAGUUGUAAUUUGCAGAGGGCGCUUUGGCGUUGGCAGCGGUCCAAGUUCUUUGGAACAGGACGUCACAGAGGGUGAGAAUCCCGUACGUGGUCGCUAGCCUUCGCCGUGUAAAGCCCCUUCGACGAGUCGAGUUGUUUGGGAAUGCAGCUCUAAAUGGGAGGUAAAUUUCUUCUAAAGCUAAAUACUGGCCAGAGACCGAUAGCGCACAAGUAGAGUGAUCGAAAGAUGAAAAGCACUUUGGAAAGAGAGUCAAAUAGCACGUGAAAUUGUUGAAAGGGAAGCGCUUGCAGCCAGACUUGCCUGUAGUUGCUUAUCUAGACUUUUGUCUAGUGCACUCUUCUGCGGGCAGGCCAGCAUCAGUUUAGGCGGUUGGAUAAAGGUCUCUAUCACGUACCUCCCUUCGGGGUUGGCCUUAUAGGGGAGACGACAUGCAGCCAGCCUGAACUGAGGUCCGCGCAUCUGCUAGGAUGCUGGCGUAAUGGCUGUAAGCGGCCCGUCUUGAAACACGGACC